UCCUCAUUAUGAGCCAUCUAAAUAGACAAGGAGGUUGGAUUUAGAAUAGAGACAAAGUUUUAUAACAGAAUAGGGCAGAGGUAAGCAUAAAUUUUAGCAAUUAUCAAGGUUAAGGUGAAAGCAAGAAGUAAGCAGAGAUAGAAGCAUGCUAAAACGUCCGGUUCUAACUAGGCUUGCGUCCUACAGUCAGUAUUGCUUUAAUACCACUUUGUAACACCUGAUUUUAAGAACAAAAUCAGAUAUGCAUCAUAUGUGAGUUUUAGAAGACAAACCUCACAUAUAGCUACAAAUAAGGGGUAAUAUCAAAGGACAACACAUAAAUUAUAUAACGUACAUAAUAAAUCAAAAUCAGAAACAACCUUAGGCAGCAAACCACGGAAGAUAACUCCAA
rnacentral:lncRNA from 1 species